rnacentral:rRNA from 1 species
UGCCACAGCCAUAUCACCCUGCAGCCCAAGACCGGUUACUCACUGAAGCUAAGCAGGGCUGAGCCUGGUAAGUACCUGGAUGGGAGACCACUAGGGAACACUAGGUUGCUGUUGGAA